GUCCUGCUUCCUGCUGAGAACAGUCCCUCCCUUGUGCCCAUCGCACCGUUAGCUGGAGGUUCGGCCACGUCAAAUCGGUUUUCCAAAAAAGCAGGGAGUAGAGCUCUUUCUUCGCCCACACAGAAAGAGGAGCUGGGGAGCAAAAAGCUGCUACACUUUGCACUGGAGAUUCGUGGGCAAGGCUUCCCCUUCUCCCAGGCUGCUUCCACUCCCGGGUGAGGAGCGCCCUGUGAGUACCGACAGCACCUGGAAAAUGGAGCAGACGUGGACGAGAGAUUAUUUUGCAGAUGAUGAUGAGGAGAUGGUACCCAGAACAAGUCAUGCAGCAGCUUUUCUUAGCGACACUAAAGAUCGAGGCCCUCCAGCGCAGUCGCAGACCUGGAGAAGUGGUGAGAAGGUCCCCUUUGGGC